GAUGAAGAACGUAGCGAAAUGCGAUAAGUAAUGUGAAUUGCAGAAUUCAGUGAAUCAUCGAAUCUUUGAACGCACAUUGCGCCCGCCAGUAUUCUGGCGGGCAUGCCUGUUCGAGCGUCAUUUCAACCAUCAAGCCCCCGGCUUGUGUUGGGGACCUGCGGCUGCCGCAGGCCCUGAAAACCAGUGGCGGGCUCGCUAGUCACUCCGAGCGUAGUAGCAUACAUCUCGCUCUGGGCGUGCUGCGGGUUCCGGCCGUUAAACCACCUUUUAACCCAAGGUUGACCUCGGAUCAGGUAGGAAGACCCGCUGAACUUAAGCAUAUCAAUAAGCGGAGGA
rnacentral:misc_RNA from 1 species